GAUGAACGCUGGCGGCGUGCCUAAUACAUGCAAGUCGAGCGAACAGACGAGGAGCUUGCUCCUCUGACGUUAGCGGCGGACGGGUGAGUAACACGUGGAUAACCUACCUAUAAGACUGGGAUAACUUCGGGAAACCGGAGCUAAUACCGGAUAAUAUAUUGAACCAAAUGGUUCAAUAGUGAAAGACGGGUUUGCUGUCACUUAUAGAUGGAUCCGCGCCGCAUUAGCUAGUUGGUAAGGUAACGGCUUACCAAGGCAACGAUGCGUAGCCGACCUGAGAGGGUGAUCGGCCACACUGGAACUGAGACACGGUCCAGACUCCUACGGGAGGCAGCAGUAGGGAAUCUUCCGCAAUGGGCGAAAGCCUGACGGAGCAACGCCGCGUGAGUGAUGAAGGUCUUCGGAUCGUAAAACUCUGUUAUUAGGGAAGAACAAAUGUGUAAGUAACUAUGCACGUCUUGACGGUACCUAAUCAGAAAGCCACGGCUAACUACGUG
rnacentral:rRNA from 1 species